rnacentral:rRNA from 1 species
GCGACCCCAGGAUGGGCGAGGCCACCCGCUGAGUUUAAGC